UGUGAAAGAAAUACCUGCUGACAGGUUAAGGAAGAGAACCCAUGUUGGCUGGAUGUACUUGCUACCUGAUUGCUGCUGGAGUGAGAACCUUUUUCAUGUCAGUUACCCCUGAAGGAUUGUGAGUGACUGAUUCUGACUAGACCCAAGAGCUAUGCAUAGUGCAAGAUUGGGUUCCAGAAGCAUCCAUCUGUCAGCAGCAGUGGGUUCUACUACAUAACAGUACUAUAAUGUGAUUGAUGCAAGUGCAGUUGCAUCCUCCUGAGGCUUCUCAGCAUGACUCAUCAUAAAGUCAGAGGGAUUUGGAAAGAUCCUGGCUUUCCAGGGAAGAAAAAUCCUCCAUUUGAGAGAGAUGAUCUGCCUUAUUUAAAUGGGAUGCAAAUACAGGUGACUGACUGCUAGACCUGCUCAAUGGAGAGCCCUCUCUGUUCCAGAUGUGUCUCUUUGGAGCCCAACACCUGCUGGAACCCAGGACUCUGAAGAGUGCAUUUAUUUUGCCACCUGAUAAAUCAUGGAAGCGUUGAUACUGACAGCAAGACUCUCUCUUUUGCUGUGUAAUACAAGUAAUUAUUACUGUUAUUGGCAAGGUCAAUGAACAAUACAUGGAGUUCUGUGUUGAUCUGUGGGUGCAUAUUGAGUUGUGUGUUGAUCAGCAUCACAUAUGGGUCAAAGCCUAUGGUUUUCUAGCCUGUGCUGUCUAAGGUCAUUCAUGCUUAACUAACCCUACUGUUUUUGACCCAUAUAAAGCCUUAUAAAAACUACUGUUUAAAAAAAAAAACCUUAAAAAUCAAUACAAUCAAUAAAAAGCAAUCUCAUUUUUUA